rnacentral:rRNA from 1 species
UGGGGAAUUUUGGACAAUGGGCGCAAGCCUGAUCCAGCAAUGCCGCGUGCAGGAUGAAGGCCUUCGGGUUGUAAACUGCUUUUGUACGGAACGAAACGGCGAGCUCUAAUACAGUUUGCUAAUGACGGUACCGUAAGAAUAAGCACCGGCUAACUACGUGCCAGCAGCCGCGGUAAUACGUAGGGUGCAAGCGUUAAUAGGAAUUACUGGGCGUAAAGCGUGCGCAGGCGGUUAUGUAAGACAGAUGUGAAAUCCCCGGGCUUAACCUGGGAACUGCAUUUGUGACUGCAUAGCUAGAGUACGGUAGAGGGGGAUGGAAUUCCGCGUGUAGCAGUGAAAUGCGUAGAUAUGCGGAGGAACACCGAUGGCGAAGGCAAUCCCCUGGACCUGUACUGACGCUCAUGCACGAAAGCGUGGGGAGCAAACA